rnacentral:rRNA from 1 species
UACGUAGGGCGCAAGCGUUGUCCGGAAUUAUUGGGCGUAAAGAGCUCGUAGGCGGUUUGUCGCGUCUGCUGUGAAAACCUAAGGCUCAACCUUGGGCUUGCAGUGGGUACGGGCAGACUAGAGUGCGGUAGGGGUGACUGGAAUUCCUGGUGUAGCGGUGGAAUGCGCAGAUAUCAGGAGGAACACCGAUGGCGAAGGCAGGUCACUGGGCCGCAACUGACGCUGAGGCGCGAAAGCGUGGGGAGCGAACAGG